AGUGAACGCUGGCGGUAGGCCUAACACAUGCAAGUCGAACGGCAGCACAGUAAGAGCUUGCUCUUACGGGUGGCGAGUGGCGGACGGGUGAGGAAUACAUCGGAAUCUACUUUUUCGUGGGGGAUAACGUAGGGAAACUUACGCUAAUACCGCAUACGACCUACGGGUGAAAGCAGGGGAUCUUCGGACCUUGCGCGAUUGAAUGAGCCGAUGUCGGAUUAGCUAGUUGGCGGGGUAAAGGCCCACCAAGGCGACGAUCCGUAGCUGGUCUGAGAGGAUGAUCAGCCACACUGGAACUGAGAAACGGUCCAGACUCCUACGGGAGGAAGCAGUGGGGAAUAUUGGACAAUGGGGGAAAGCCUGAUCCAGCCAUACCGCGUGGGUGAAGAAGGCCUUCGGGUUGUAAAGCCCUUUUGUUGGGAAAGAAAAGCAGCAGGUUAAUACCCCGCUGUUCUGACGGUACCCAAAGAAUAAGCACCGGCUAACUUCGUG
rnacentral:rRNA from 1 species